rnacentral:rRNA from 1 species
AGUGAACGCUGGCGGUAGGCCUAACACAUGCAAGUCGAACGGCAGCACAGUAAGAGCUUGCUCUUACGGGUGGCGAGUGGCGGACGGGUGAGGAAUACAUCGGAAUCUACUUUUUCGUGGGGGAUAGCGUAGGGAAACUUACGCUAAUACCGCAUACGACCUACGGGUGAAAGCAGGGGAUCUUCGGACCUUGCGCGAUUGAAUGAGCCGAUGUCGGAUUAGCUAGUUGGCGGUGUAAAGGCCCACCAAGGCGACGCGCCGUAGCUGGUCUGAGAGGAUGAUCAGCCACACUGGAACUGAGACACGGUCCAGACUCCUACGGGAGGCAGCAGUGGGGAAUAUUGGACAAUGGGCGCAAGCCUGAUCCAGCCAUACCGCGUGGGUGAAGAAGGCCUUCGGGUUGUAAAGCCCUUUUGUUGGGAAAGAAAAGCAGCAGGUUAAUACCCCGCUGUUCUGACGGUACCCAAAGAAUAAGCACCGGCUAACUUCGUG